UUCUCUGUUUUAUCCACUAACAACUCGAUUUUCUCACCACGAUCGAGAACCUGCCAAACAGAUGGAAAAAUAAAAAUAGUACGCUGCGU